AAUGACUCUGGGUCAAGAUGGAAAAUGACUCUGGGUCGAUGAAUAGCUCAGGGCUAUGAGCUCCGGGCUCUAUGACUGAUCGGCUAGAAGGAGAAUGCGAUACGCAAACUCCAGGUCAAACCACUCAUGGGCGACCAAAUGAUGAAAGCUCAGCUAAGAGCUGGAAAGACUCCGGGUCUAUAGGAAAUGAUAGCUCAGGGCUAGCGGGCUC
rnacentral:lncRNA from 1 species